AGGGUAAUUUAGUCAUUUUAGACAGGCAAAAACAACACUUUCCUUUUACUUUGUCAAAAAUCUGCCACCUAUACUUUGCUUCACUAUCACCUCUCUCUCUCCUUUCAAUUUUCUUCAACUUCCCUUCACCUCUUUCCUCUUUCUGCAUUAAGGAAAUCGACAGAGAGAGUUGGAUAAAGAAAAACAACACAUAACACACACAUUAUUCCCACGUAAUCUCAAUUCUCACACACUGAAACAUCUUUUAACAAUAUAAAACCCCACAUUUCACAAGUUCCAAUCAUGAAGUAGCUAGAUAUUUUCUUUAUCUACGUAAAAAGCAAAAAUCAUAGUUUCAAAACUACUCCAUUUUCCCUUCUAACGGUUACUUUAUUUCCCAGCCUUCAAUGCUCUUUAACAAAUAGCCCUCUUCACCUUCUUGAAAACUGAAAAAAAACACCCAAAACCAAAAAGCAUAUUAUGAAGCAUUAAUACAAACCAAAAUCACACUAAAGAUUGUAUUUUGAGCAGACCCCAGAACCAAAAACACACAAAAGAUUGCAUUUUGAGAGCCAAAACAGAGGAAAAAAUUGCAUUUUGAGAGCCAAAACAGAGAAAAGGUUGCAUUUUGAGAACCAAAACAGAGUAAAGAUUACAUUUUGAGAGCCAAAACAGUUAAAAGAUUGAAUAUUUAGAAGACCCCAGAUGGAUUUUCCAUCAUUCUUGACA
rnacentral:lncRNA from 1 species